rnacentral:rRNA from 1 species
CUUAAGUGGGGAAUAACGCAUCGAAAGGUGUGCUAAUACCGCAUAAUCUCUGAGGAGAAAAGCAGGGGAUCGCAAGACCUUGCGCUUUUGGAGCGGCCGAUGUCUGAUUAGCUUGUUGGUGAGGUAAAAGCUUACCAAGGCUUCGAUCAGUAGCUGGUCUGAGAGGACGACCAGCCACACUGGGACUGAGACACGGCCCAGACUCCUACGGGAGGCAGCAGUGGGGAAUUUUGGACAAUGGGGGCAACCCUGAUCCAGCCAUGCCGCGUGAGUGAAGAAGGCCUUCGGGUUGUAAAGCUCUUUCAGCCGGAACGAAACGGUUACGGUUAAUACCCGUGACUACUGACGGUACCGGAAGAAGAAGCACCGGCUAACUACGUGCCAGCAGCCGCGGUAAUACGUAGGGUGCGAGCGUUAAUCGGAAUUACUGGGCGUAAAGCGUGCGCAGGUGGUUUUGUAAGUCAGAUGUGAAAUCCCCGGGCUCAACCUGGGAACUGCGUUUGAAACUACAAGGCUAGAGUGUGGCAGAGGGGGGUGGAAUUCCGCGUGUAGCAGUGAAAUGCGUAGAGAUGUGGAGGAACACCGAUGGCGAAGGCAGCCCCCUGGGUCAACACUGACGCUCAGGCACGAAAGCAUGGGGAGCAAACAGGAUUAGAUACCCUGGUAGUCCAUGCCCUAAACGAUGUCAACUAGUUGUCGGGCCUUAACGGGCUUGGUAACGUAGCUAACGCGUGAAGUUGACCGCCUGGGGAGUACGAUCGCAAGAUUAAAACUCAAAGGAAUUGACGGGGACCCGCACAAGCGGUGGAUUAUGUGGAUUAAUUCGAUGCAACGCGAAAAACCUUACCUACCCUUGACAUGUAUCGAAGCCCGCAGAAAAGUGGGUGUGCCCGAAAGGGAACGAUAACACAGGUGCUGCAUGGCUGUCGUCAGCUCGUGUCGUGAGAUGUUGGGUUAAGUCCCGCAACGAGCGCAACCCUUGUCAUUAAUUGCCAUCAUUUAGUUGGGCACUUUAAUGAGACUGCCGGUGACAAACCGGAGGAAGGUGGGGAUGGCGUCAAGUCCUCAUGGCCCUUAUGGGUAGGGCUUCACACGUAA